UCCCCAGGGUCUCAGACGGUAAAGAAUCUGCCUGCAGUGCAGGAGACCCAGGUUUGAUCCCUGGAUUGGGAA
rnacentral:tRNA from 1 species